GUCCACGCCCUAAACGAUGAUGACUAGUUGUUGGAGGAGUUAAAUCCUUUAGUAACGCAGCUAACGCGUGAAGUCAUCCGCCUGGGGAGUACGGUCGCAAGAUUAAACUCAAAGGAAUUGACGGGGCCCGCACAAGCGGUGGAUGAUGUGGUUUAAUUCGAUGCAACGCGAAAACCUUACCUACCCUUGACAUGUCAGGAACUCUGCAGAAAUGCAGAGGUGCCCGAAAGGGAACCUGAACACAGGUGCUGCAUGGCUGUCGU
rnacentral:rRNA from 1 species